UACGGAGGGUGCAAGCGUUGUCCGGAUUUAUUGGGCGUAAAGAGCUCGUAGGUGGUUUGUCGCGUUGUCCGUGAAAACUCACAACUCAAUUGCGGGCGUGCGGGCGAUACGGGCAGACUGGAGUACUGCAGGGGAGACUGGAAUUCCUGGUGUAGCGGUGAAAUGCGUAGAUAUCUGGAGGAACACCGGUGGCGAAGGCGGCGAUCUGGACGAUGACUGACGCUGAGACGCGAAAGCGUGGGGAGCAAACAGG
rnacentral:rRNA from 1 species